GACAGAGGGUGCAAACGUUGUUCGGAAUUACUGGGCGUAAAGCGUGUGUAGGCGGUCUCAUAAGUCGGGUGUGAAAGCCCCAGGGCUCAACCCUGGAAGUGCACUCGAAACUACGUGGCUGGAGUGUGGCAGAGGAAGGUGGAAUUCCACGUGUAGCGGUGAAAUGCGUAGAGAUGUGGAGGAACACCGAUGGCGAAGGCAGCCUUCUGGGCCAACACUGACGCUCAUGCACGAAAGCGUGGGGAGCAAACAGG
rnacentral:rRNA from 1 species